rnacentral:rRNA from 1 species
UACGGGGGGGGCAAGCGUUGUUCGGAAUUACUGGGCGUAAAGGGCUCGUAGGUGGCCAACUAAGUCAGACGUGAAAUCCCUCGGCUUAACCGGGGAACUGCGUCUGAUACUGGAUGGCUUGAGGUUGGGAGAGGGAUGCGGAAUUCCAGGUGUAGCGGUGAAAUGCGUAGAUAUCUGGAGGAACACCGGUGGCGAAGGCGGCAUCCUGGACAAUGACUGACGCUGAGGCGCGAAAGCGUGGGGAGCAAACAGG